rnacentral:lncRNA from 10 species
AUUGCUAACAGAGAAGUGUCAGAAGAAAAUGAAUGAUCAAUUGUCAUGUUUUAUAAUUAUUCGUCCCCCUCUCAUACACACUCAAACCUUUUUAUUCCUGUGCCCUAUAUCUAUUUUAUAUUAGAAAUGGCUAGAAUUUGCUGGGUGUUUGUAAGUAUCAGGUACUGUGCUAGGCAACUUACUUGCAUUUUCAUAUUUAAUUGUCUCAACAAUCCAGUGAGGUAAGUGCCAUCCUCAUCCCCAUGUUGUGAAUGGGAAAACUGAGGCUUACAGAAGGUAAGUCAUUUGUCUGAGCUUUUACAGCUGAAAUUCAAACCUACGUCUGUUUGAAUUGAGCUAGGGCUCCUAACCAAUAAGAAAAAAAAAACAGAAUAUAUUGAGGCUUACAACAAACAAAGGUGUAUUCUUCCUUAUGCUCCAUAUUGGACACCACGUAUUCAUCUGGGGCCUGCUGCAGCCUGCACAUCAUCAUCAUUCUGAGACCCUGGCUGAAGAGGCAGCCCCUGCCUGGGAGAUUGCCCUUCUCAGAUGUUGCUCUUCGUCAGCAGUGGGGAAAGACAGGGAUGGGGGGGAUCUUCUUGGCGGCUUUUAGGGUGUUAAUUUGGAAGUGAUGUGCCCCACUUCUGUUCACAUCUCAUUGGCCAAAACAAACUCAAUGACCAAGCCUGAUAUCCAUGUAGCUGGGACGAAUCAUUCUGUCACCAUGCAGGGCAGCAAAUAUUUGGAAAUGAUACCACACUCUGCUAUGGCUCUUAGCUUCUGUGCUCCCUCCAGGCCAGAUGGACUCCUGGAUCUAUGUAGAAGAGGCCACCUGUAUAAAGGGAGAUUCUGAGAACCUGAAAUUUUCCUUCAUCCAGAUGCCCAAAGUAUCUGACACUCCACCAGUAGAGAUAAAGUUGUGCUGCCUGAGGAUAGCUAUGUGCUACUAGGAGUUAUGACGUGUUCUUCAAGGAGGCUUUCUCCCAGCUGGUAGGACUCUUGGUAUGGAGCUCCCUCAAAGCAGCAGAUGAGAAAGAGUAAGGGUCUCCUAGUCUGAAGGCUUUGUAGAAUUCUAAUCCAGAUGAAGAACACUCUUCUCUGAGGACAGUUCUUAGGACUCAAAGAUUGGGAAUGAUGAUUACAUCUUGUCCAGUAUUUC